GACGAACGCUGGCGGCGUGCUUAACACAUGCAAGUCGAGCGGUAAGGCCCUUCGGGGUACACGAGCGGCGAACGGGUGAGUAACACGUGGGUGACCUGCCCUUAGCUCUGGGAUAAGCCUGGGAAACUGGGUCUAAUACCGGAUAUGACCUCAUGACGCAUGUUGUGGGGUGGAAAGCCUUGUGCGGCUAGGGAUGGGCCCGCGGCCUAUCAGCUUGUUGGUGGGGUGAUGGCCUACCAAGGCGACGACGGGUAGCCGGCCUGAGAGGGCGACCGGCCACACUGGGACUGAGACACGGCCCAGACUCCUACGGGAGGCAGCAGGU
rnacentral:rRNA from 1 species